UGUGUGUGUGUGUUGCUGAGGCGCGAGCCCUGCCCCCCACACGUUGCUAGGCAACGCCCGCUCUGCUGCUGAGCCACAGCCCCAGCCCCAGCCCUGAAGUUUGACAAAACUAAUUCUGCACCGAAAGCCCGAGCCCCUCUCACUGGUCCUGGCAGUCUAUUUAGUAAAAAGUUCCAGAUGCCCUAACACACAUGAACAAGAAGGCAUGACUGUAAAGAUGUAACAGACUGGCUAGACGGGAUAAGAUGGAUCUCGUGCACCUUCAAGUAUGAUGCCCUGACACAGAGAAUGGAGGAGCACAGAACACAUCCUAGUGUAUAUGAUGCGGUCCUGUUCUGCAGGGAGGAAAGUGUACUUUCCAUGUGACUGCAGGACGAAACACCUCGCAGCAAGCCAAGAAGACCUCUGGGCUUCAACAGGGCCAAUCAGAAAGAGGCCCAGCAGCUGGCACAGAGAAGGAGCCCACAGGCCACGGCACAGGGACUGAAGCACCACAGAACCUUGAGGCCCUGAGGCUACACCACUACAGGUUUACCAGUAAUGAAAAGACCGGAAGAGUCACAAUACGAGUCUCUCAGACACAGACACCACUCUAACCCAAGCAGAGAGGAGCCCACUUACUUAACUGGUGAGCCGGACAAAUGUCUAUGCUGCAGCUGCUGCAGGGGAUACCAGAGAAAAGUUUAAGAAAAGUGAUGUCUCUUAGCCAAAAAAUAAAGCUUGUGGCUAAAUUACAGCACAGGAAUUGUAUGUUUAUAUGAGUGUGAUGUUCCCCCCUCUAAAGUCUUCAGAAAUAUGGAAAUUCCUUUUUGUUGAAAUAAGGAAAUUCUUACUCCUAUGAUUCUGAGAGAAUGAAGGUUACGUCAUUUGAUAAAUUACGACUUGCUGGACACACACACAGUACGGGGUUGUGGGGUGUGGCUUGAUGGCAGAGCACUGGCCUAGCACCUGUGAGGAGGUCCUAGGCUUAAUCCUAGUAAUGGGAAAAAGAAAA